AGAGUUUGAUCAUGGCUCAGGGUGAACGCUGGCGGCGUGCUUGACACAUGCAAGUCGAACGGUAUGUGGCAACACAUAGAGUGGCGAACGGGUGAGUAACACGUGGGAACGUAUCUUUUGCAGGGGGAUAACUGACCGAAAGGACAGCUAAUACCGCAUAAGUCCGGGAGGAGAAAGGUGCAACAGCAUCGGCAGAAGAGCGGCCCGCGGUCCAUCAGCUAGUUGGUGAGGUAAGGGCUUACCAAGGCGACGACGGAUAGCCGGCGUGAGAGCGUGGCCGGCCACAAGGACACUGAGAUACGGGUCCUACUCCUACGGGAGGCAGCAGUGCGGAAUUUUAGAUAAUGGAGGGAACUCUGAUCUAGCGACGCCGCGUGCAGGAAGAAGGUCUUCGGAUUGUAAACUGCUGUGGUAAGGGAAAAAUGCUAUGUAGAGUGGAGAGCUACAUAGAGGGAUGGUACCUUACUAGAAAGCCCCGGCUAACCACGUGCCAGCAGCCGCGGUAAUACGUAGGGGGCGAGCGUUACCCGGAAUCACUGGGCGUAAAGGGAGCGUAGGUGGCCUAACAUGUCAACUGUGAAAACCCGGAGCUCAACUCCGGACUUGCAGUUGAAACUGGUAGGCUUGAGGACGGUAGAGGAAGACGGAACUGCCAGUGUAGGGGUAAAAUCCUUAGAUAUUGGCAGGAACGCCGGUGACGAAGGUGGUUUUCUGGGCCGGUUCUGACACUGAUGCUCGAAAGCCAGAGGAGCGAACGGGAUUAGAUACCCCGGUAGUCCUGGCCCUAAACGAUGUUCACUAGGUGUGGGGAGCGGAAAGCUCUCCGUGCUAAAGCUAACGCGAUAAGUGAACCGCCUGGGGAGUACGCCCGCAAGGGUGAAACUCAAAGGAAUUGACGG
rnacentral:rRNA from 1 species